rnacentral:rRNA from 1 species
AUUGAACGCUGGCGGCAGGCUUAACACAUGCAAGUCGAGCGAGCGGCGGACGGGUGAGUAAUGUCUGGGAAACUGCCUGAUGGAGGGGGAUAACUACUGGAAACGGUAGCUAAUACCGCAUACCAUCAGAUGAACCCAUAUGGGAUUAGCUAGGAGGUGGGGUAAUGGCUCACCUAGGCGACGAUCCCUAGCUGGUCUGAGAGGAUGAUCAGCCACACUGGAACUGAGACACGGCCCAGACUCCUACGGGAGGCAGCAGUGGGGAAUAUUGCACAAUGGGCGCAAGCCUGAUGCAGCCAUGCCGCGUGUAUGAAGAAGGCCUUCGGGUUGUAAAGUACUUUCAGCCGGGAGGCGUUACCGACAGAAGAAGCACCGGCUAACUCCGUGCCAGCAGCCGCGGUAAUAC